rnacentral:lncRNA from 1 species
GGUUAGUGCUAGCUGAAUUCAUGACCAUUAUAUAUUACUGUAUAAGCAAAUGUUAUAAUAAAUGAUACGCUCGUCGUUAGAGAAGAUUUGUACUCACACGGGAAAGCGUUUCACCGUUGGUUACAUACCAUGGUUUAGAUAGACACAUGGAUCGUAGUACGAAAUGGACGGAAGCAGCACUUGAAUUUCCACAAUCUACUACAAGUCAAAUGCUUCAUGCCACCAAGAACGAUGGCCUCCUCCAUCUAUACAAAAACACAAACUUUCCCCAACAACAAGUCAAAUGCUAUUGUGUGGCAUACUAGCCACGCAGCGUUGGCAGGAAACGGCAGAGGAUACUUUCGAUCAACGCCCUUGGAUGUUGAGCUAUUCGCAUAAGUAUGUCGUCAACAAAUAUUUCACAACUUACCCCGCAAAAGAAACAAAUUCACAAUUCAGUGUAGGAGGUAGUUCUGUUCGAUUGGCUGAAAAAAGUUAAUGCUGAUGCUAAUUUACUAUAAGAGAAAUGUUCAAAAAAAAAUUUACUAUAAAAGAAAAAUAAUAUUCUAUGGCUGAAACACACUACUGAGCAGCUGAGAAAGGAUAAUACACAAGAGGUCUUUUCAUCGACGCACGGGCACGGCUGAGGAAGGACAGGAGGGAGAAAUUGUCUUGAGAAGGACAUUCAUUUACAUUUAGAACGGCAAUCUCCACAUGUGCCUGCGAUCAACGAUGACUAAUACCCUC